GGUUAAAAAGCUCGUAGUUGGAUUUCUGUUGAGGGCGACCGGUGUACACCUCGUGUAUUAUUUGGUUCGGUCUCGGCAUCCUCUUGGGGAACGUUUCUGGACUUUAUUGGACAGGGCGAGAUUCAAGACUUUCACUUUGAGGAAAUUAGAGUGUUCACGGCAGGCAAGCGCUUUGAAUACAUUAGCAUGGAAUAAUAAUAUAGGACCUUCGUUCUAUUUUGUUGGUUUCUAGAACUUAGGUAAUGAUUAAUAGGGACAAUUGGGGGCAUUCGUAUUAACGCGUCAGAGGUGGAAUUCUUGGAUUGCGUUACGACGAACUACUGCGAAAGCAUUUGCCAAAGAUGUUUUCAUUGAUCAAGAACGAAAGUAUGGGGAUCGAAGAUGCUUAGAUACCGUCGUAGUCUAUACCAUAAACUAUGCCAACUAGAGAUUGGUGGGGUUCUCCUAUUUGGCUCCAUCAGCAUCUUAUGAGAAAUCAAAGUCUUUGGGUUCCGGGGGAAGUAUGGUCGCAAGGCUGAAACUUAAAGGAAUUGACGGAAGGGCACCACCAGGAGUGGAGCCUGCGGCUUAAUUUGACUCAACACGGGAAAACUUACCAGGUCCAGACAUAGUAAGGAUUGACAGAUUGAUAGCUCUUUCU
rnacentral:rRNA from 1 species